AAAUUGAAGAGUUUGAUCAUGGCUCAGAUUGAACGCUGGCGGCAGGCCUAACACAUGCAAGUCGAACGGUAACAGGAAACAGCUUGCUGUUUCGCUGACGAGUGGCGGACGGGUGAGUAAUGUCUGGGAAACUGCCUGAUGGAGGGGGAUAACUACUGGAAACGGUAGCUAAUACCGCAUAAUGUCGCAAGACUAAAGAGGGGGACCUUCGGGCCUCUUGCCAUCGGAUGUGCCCAGAUGGGAUUAGCUAGUAGGUGGGGUAACGGCUCACCUAGGCGACGAUCCCUAGCUGGUCUGAGAGGAUGACCAGCCACACUGGAACUGAGACACGGUCCAGACUCCUACGGGAGGCAGCAGUGGGGAAUAUUGCACAAUGGGCGCAAGCCUGAUGCAGCCAUGCCGCGUGUAUGAAGAAGGCCUUCGGGUUGUAAAGUACUUUCAGCGGGGAGGAAGGGAGUAAAGUUAAUAC
rnacentral:rRNA from 1 species